UUGGUGACGUCUCGGCUCUUCAAAAAUUGGAACGAUCCGGAGAAGAUUAGCGUGGCCCCGGCUUAAGGGCGAUACGCAAGUUCGUGAAGCGUUAAAUCCACCU